CAGUCGCCGCGGUAAUACGUAGGUGGCAAGCGUUGUCCGGAAUUAUUGGGCGUAAAGGGCUCGCAGGCGGUUUCUUAAGUCUGAUGUGAAAGCCCACGGCUCAACCGUGGAGGGUCAUUGGAAACUGGAAAACUUGAGUGCAGAAGAGGAAAGUGGGAUUCCAUGCGUAGCGGUGAAAUGCGCAGAGAUAUAGAGGAACACCAGUGGCGAAGGCGACUUUCUGGUCUGUAACUGACGCUGAUGUGCGAAAGCGUGGGGAUCAAACAGGAUUAGAUACCCCUGUAGUCCCUGUCUCUUAUAC
rnacentral:rRNA from 1 species